rnacentral:rRNA from 1 species
AGUGAACGCUGGCGGUAGGCCUAACACAUGCAAGUCGAACGGCAGCACAGUAAGAGCUUGCUCUUACGGGUGGCGAGUGGCGGACGGGUGAGGAAUACAUCGGAAUCUACUUUUUCGUGGGGGAUAACGUAGGGAAACUUACGCUAAUACCGCAUACGACCUACGGGUGAAAGCAGGGGAUCUUCGGACCUUGCGCGAUUGAAUGAGCCGAUGUCGGAUUAGCUAGUUGGCGGGGUAAAGGCCCACCAAGGCGACGAUCCGUAGCUGGUCUGAGAGGAUGGUCCGCCACACUGGAACUGAGACACGGUCCAGACUCCGACGGGAGGCAGCAGUGGGGAAUAUUGGACAAUGGGAGCAAGCCUGAUCCAGCCAUGCCGCGUGGGUGAAGAAGGCCUGCGGGUUGUAAAGCCCUUUUGUUGGGAAAGAAAAGCAGCAGGUUAAUACCCCGCUGUUCUGACGGUACCCAAAGAAUAAGCACCGGCUAACUUCGU